UACAGAGGUCCCAAGCGUUGUUCGGAUUCAUUGGGCGUAAAGGGUGCGUAGGCGGCGCGGUAAGUCGGGUGUGAAAUCUCGGGGCUUAACUCCGAAACUGCAUUCGAUAACUGCCGUGCUUGAGGACUGGAGAGGAGACUGGAAUUUACGGUGUAGCGGUGAAAUGCGUAGAUAUCGAUAAGGAAGACCAGUGGCGAAGGCGGGUCGUCUGGACAGUUC
rnacentral:rRNA from 1 species